CCUGCUGACAUCACCUGACUGGCAGGAGGCAGGGUUCUGGGAUAUAUAAGCCCAGGCUGUAGCUAGCAGACACACAUGCUCUCUGACAACUGACAGGGAAGGAGCUAUUGCCUGCUGAAGCUACUUGAGACCUGGUGCUGCCUGCCUAGCUCUUCCAGUACUUCCUGCUCUGAUAUAUAGGUGCUAUAGGACUACAGGGAGUCUUCCAGUUGGAGAGUCUGGACUGAGGACAGGCACCUGCCCAAAGAAAGGGGAGCAGGGGCUCACCCCCAGAAGCCUUCAUAGUCAAAGCAGGACAGGCAAGAUCCCGAGCUGCAAAGACUGCAUCUGCCUUCACUGAUGAUGUCCGAGGGAAUCCCCUGCCGCGGGAGCCGCACUUGCCAGUAAUUAAGUUCCCUGCAGUGUGGUUUGAAGGUCCCGGUGAAGAGACCCGGGCGGGGAUAGCAGAUCAUAGAAGAGUCUGGGGUAACAACCCCAGACAAGAGAGCACCAGACCUGGAAGACCCUCGAGGCUGAGGAGGCCAAAGGCCAAGGACUCUUUCUUUUUUCUUUCCUUUUUUUUUUUAAAGGAGAAGAGGAAAUCAGAACAUUGGCUCCAAGCUGGUCCUUUCUACACUCCUGGAGUUGGGCCCCCCCCCGGGGUGCGGGGCAGCCCCUUUGAGUUGGGCAGGAGACAGGCGGUCACCACCUCUCUUUUUCAGAUCUCUUAUAUCAUUAAAGUUGUGGCAGGCAGGAAAAGAAGGGAUGUUGAAUCCCCUCCAGCUCGGCCAUAGGAGCAUAGCUGCCAUAGGGGCCAGUGAAUGUCAGCAGGAUGUUGGGGUGUACGCCCUUGCACGGUGACAGCCUGACACAUGUGUAGGGAAGGUUGGAGCAUGUAUGCACCAUCCAGUAUAGCUGGGCACAUGAAGGGCAGCCUCCCACUUAAUGAAUAACUUAAUAAUUUACUAACAAGGUGUGGCAGAAAAGAUAGGUGGGUGGACUGCCCAAGACAGGUGGGUAGGCUGAUACAGAGGUUGGCCUCAGGAUGGUCCCCUGUCACACCAUCUUUUCCUUGUUAAGAUACCCUUGACAUUAACUGAAACUAUUGUCAAUGCCAUUUAUGUUUAUUUUAAAAUGAGUGUACCUGUCACUUCUUAAGGUUCAUCUGUGCUUGUUUUGAGCUGUGUGCCUGUCCCUUUAAGGGGUCAUCUGUGCCACUGCUUGGGGUGGUUGAUUCUUCCCCUUCCCUCACUUGAAUUCCUGUAGCCUUUGCAAGCUGUCAGAUCACUUCCACAUUUAGGAAGGCUUGCAUAUUUCCACCUCUCUGCAGCUUCCUGCCUUCUGGUUUCCACUCUGGGUUGGAGCCCAGAGGUGUUAGUAACAGGAAACUGCUCUCCGAUUUUUUUUUUUUAUUUUUUUUUUU